GAGAAGAUCAUGGCUUCAUUGAACACCGGGUUCGGGUCGUCCCUCUUCACAGCUGUCUUCUUUUUGCUCAUCUUCCUCCCAUCCUGCAGCAGAGAUGAGAAAACUGAGGCUCACACGCACAUCAAGAGAAGAUAUGGGCUUUGGACUCUGGCACCCUGAUUCCCAGCCCAUGUGCAUGCUCCCCUCACGAGAUGCUUGAGGGAGCUCCACAGAUCCAUCAUUUUUCACUCUAUAAAUGGCCCAAACGCA